GGAAAAGUGACUCAGUGGUAGAGUGCUUGCCUUGCAUGCAUGAUGCCCUGGGUUCCAUACCUCAGCACCA
rnacentral:tRNA from 1 species